UCUCCUCUCCUGAACCUCUCCUUUCUCUGUUGAUCCGGUGGCAUCUCCUCCUUUCUCUCAUUCUCUCAGAUCCAGAUUGGCUGCUCAUCGAGGCGGAGGGCUUCAGUCGGCGGCGAUCCCUGCCACCGCGGCCUCCUCAUCCCCAACAGCGGCGGCACCUCCUUCGCCCCCUCAAGCAUCCACGACUGCUACUCCCCGACCGGCAACCGCGACGCUCCUGGUGGCCGCACGGCUAGGCCCACUCGGGGAAGGCUACGGCGGCACGAUGCACCAUCAGCACGUUUGCUGGGGCCCUUCCGUUCCAACGAUGGCGGCGCCCUUCGUGUACGGACACGCCGCGUGCAGGGCAAUGCUGUCCACGCCGGAUUGCAUGGCCUGCCUCCGCUCCAUCGUGAGCCAUAUGGACGCGGCGCCAGGGCCGUGCUUCUUGACUGCAGCUUGCGCUAUGAGCAGUACGUGUUCAUGGAUUAAUUAACUAAUCCAGAGCCAUGGCCGCCGGUGCCUCCAUUGACCACCUGCUUCCUCCUCAUGCAAGUAUGGAUUGAAUAGGCAACAUGUGGGAUCAGGGCAGCAUUAGGAGGCGACCUGUGAUUUCCUCCACCUCCCUUCCAAAUCCGGUGUUGAAUCGAGAAGCAGAUCUGAUGCUAACUCAUUUAUUCCACCAUGCUUUUCAUGCAGUGAUUUCGUCCAUUGUGCUUUCUAUAUGCAGGCAACCAGUGAUUUUAUGCAAUUCAUUUUCAUGCAUUUUUGAAUUUUGGAUACAUUUCUAGCUGAUACUUGGUAUACACUGUUGGAAUAUUUCUAUACAUUAUCGGUGCCAAAAAUAUUUCUGCGCAACUUGACUACUAAUUCUAUGAAUCUGAUCGCCCAUUGCAUGCUAUUUUUUAAAUUUUGGAGAAAAUGAGAUCAUCUGCAUCUUUUACGUGUGUGAUCUCCAUGUUCUAUGUAUAUAUUGUUCCCAUGUUAAUUAUACACCCCUAAUGAUAUUUUUGGUUUAGAUGCACUGUUAGAAUAAUUAUCUGCGCACAAUUCUUUUAUGCUUAGUUGUAUGGGUUUUAUCUGAUUUUUUGGUUGCAGCCUUGGAUGAAUAGGUGGUUUGCAUGAAAUGAAAAGCUAUAAACGCAAAACCAUUCUGGUGGCAAGUCCACUGCCUGAUGCAGUCCACGGCCGCGGUGCUAGUAUGAAGCAGCAGUGGCGGGUGGUGGCGUGUAGUUCACGGCGGCGGCGCUAGUGCGAAUCAGUGGUGGUGGUCAGUUCGAUGGAAGAUAGCAAAGGAGCAGCACGACGCGGCCAAGGAUUUUUGCAUUUUGUUUGUUGAAUUUAGUGUUCUUAUGUUUGUGUGCAUAAGUUUCUAUACACACAAUGGAGCACUUCUAUGUAUUUUUGUAUUCUUAAUGCUUGUGAGCAUAAGUUUCUAUACAUUGUUGGAGCAGGUCUAUGUUGUUUUUAUGCGACAAUAAAUUCACUUUUUAUUCAUCAAAUUACUAAAUUCUAUGUAA